GCCCUUCCUACGGGAGGCAGCAGUGGGGAAUUUUAGACAAUGGGGGCAACCCUGAUCCAGCCAUCCCGCGUGUGCGAUGAAGGCCUUCGGGUUGUAAAGCACUUUUGGCAGGGAAGAAAAGCCGCGGGUUAAUACCCUGCGGUGCUGACGGUACCUGCAGAAUAAGCACCGGCUAACUACGUGCCAGCAGCCGCGGUAAUAAGGGCAA
rnacentral:rRNA from 1 species